ensembl:lncRNA
AUGAUCUGCCCGACCCCUCGUGCCCAGCGUAGGAAGGACAGAGCUCCGGCGGGCGGGGCUGUGCGGCCGGAAGGGCCGCCCGGCAUCCGUUCGCGACGUCGCAGUGUGGCGUUCGUUCCGUCUGGGGCAACGUGCUGCGUCUGCUUGCGGCUGCGCCCCUCCGGCGUCAUACGGUGCGGCCCAAACUGUUCAAGCCUGAUGUUACAAAGCAAGCCUACAUUUCUUUCAUCAAAUCCCUCUGAGCAUAAAAAGCAGCCCAAGCGGCUCAGAUUCAAGCUGCGUCCCCCCUGUGUCUUCCUUCCAACCUGCAGGGAGACAUGCAAUCAGGAGUGUGAGGCUCCCUGCCCUCCUAUAUUGACCCCCAUGAGAAACCCAACCACAUUGUUUAUGGAUCAGGUGAAAAUCCAGGUUAACCAGAACAGCAUCCACAAGCAGGGGGAGAAUCAAAUCAGAAUGGGUAUUUACAGCACUUCCUCAUUGUGUGCUGCCAGCUGCUCAUGUCUGAUUCAUCACCUCAGUGGAGCUCAUCACCCCACACACCUGGAGAGGCUCCUUGAUCCCAGUGACAUCUCCAUGACUGCAAUGUUCUUUGGCAAGGAGUGCAGCCCACCGGCAUGGACAGCCACCUCCUCUUGCUGGCUUCCCUUCCAUCUGCCAGCCUUGCUCUUGGAAUCGAAGGCAGUGCGCACCCAGCUUCAGCCCACUUUCUCUUCCACUUGCCACUCCCUAAGGUCAGCCCUUCUGAGGAGCACAGCCACCAAGCCUUGUUGUGCCCCGGCUCUCCCCUGGGCCUUCUUUGGCAGAGUGGCAGUCGUGUUCCCAGCGUUGUAUCAGAUAACACAUUGCUGUUAAAAACCCAACAAUAAAGUCUCUGUGGGAUGCUGGCUGUGUGGGUUCAGGCCUGUCUGCUUCCUUCUGAAAAAGCAAAUUCCUUGAGAGCAUCUACCAACAUGUUAAUAUGGGGCAGUGAUUUUGAGAUGCUUCUUGCAUAUCCAGCACUGGUUGAGCACGCGGCUUUUUGUAGCUGUGUUUAUUAUAAUCUGUUACUUUUAUUUAAUGCCUCAUUAAAGAAAGCAUCUUUUCAAAGUAUGUUACAUUCUGAGCUUUCUUACUGAGUAAGAUUAUGUAUUUCAAAAUUAGGCCACUAUGGUUGCCCCACCAGUGUUACCUCACUGGUUUCUAAAGAGGAUUCAGAGAAGAUAAAUGAGAAAUGCAACCGUAUUUCUGUCUGUGGAUGUGGACAGGGAGGAAAAGGAAAAGGAUUUUUCCCCCAUAUAAGCUCUUGAUGUAGAACUAUUUAAAUUAGAAAAGACUUCCCACUGCAGGUGCAAAUGUCUAUCUAGUUCCUGGUUCUUAUCCUGUGUUAUGGGGCAAAAAUUUGGUUUCAGUAUCCCAGGCCUUUGUAAGGGACUAAACUGCUUGAAAUAUCUCAGCUUCAGCUAUGAAAGAUCCCAGCAUUGCUCUUCUGGUCAGUUGCUCAGUCAGUCCUUCCAAAUUACCCAUGUUUGUAUUUUAGCAACCUUAAUUCUCACAAGAGCCUGUCAUGAGGGAUACAAAUUUUGAAGGAGACUUCUUGGUGAAAUAGUUGUUAUUUGCCUUCCUGUGUACUCUUCUGGAAAAUUAGAACAUUGAACAUGUCUCCAUGCAUUAAACAGAACCUGGUCAUCACUUUUAAAAGUGAAAAAGCUUCUGAAGAACAGUACAUAAUAACAUAAUAACAGUUACAGAAUGCAAGCACUAAUUGUGUGUUUUUGCAAAAUCUGGGAAAACAUGGAGACAAAUUUUCCAUGUGUGAUACCUACCAGAAAGGUAAAAACUACAUACUGUACCCAAAAACCCACAAUACUUUGUGCUGUUAAGCAGUGAGAGUGGAUGAAAAGCAGCAAAAUCUUCCCCCUCGGGAAGCCAGCAUUCAUCAUGUUUGCCAUUUCCCAUCAGGAGGUGUCUAUGACCAGCAUACUCUGCUCUGGCUGCCCCAGGCCUUCCUGCCUCUUUGCCAGAACACUGUUUUCCAAAACAGACUUGGGGUUGUUAGGGCUUAUCCUGGGGUCUCACCUGACCUCCAGCACGUGUGGGAUAUCCAUGAGUCGUUUCCAUUCCCUAGCUCUAAGCAGUGGGUUAUGCCAAAUCCACCUUUGGCACUUUCCCUGGCAUCACCCCCCACGAGGUGGCAGAACUCGCCUGUGCGGUGCCCCCAUGGACGUGGGUGAGUAGGCAAAGCCACACAGCUGAACUGUGCCCAAGGGACCUUGCCCAGUGUCUGCAAGGCAGUGCCUGUGUUGGGGGCCAGGCUUGCCCCCUCUGAGGGAAAGGCACGGUGUUGAGGCUACAGUCAUGUGUACAAAGGAUUUGUCCUGAGAGAACUAUGACAGGACAUCUGCCUCGUGGAACUUGUAGAUUUGAUUAUCAUCAAUUUCACUUUUUAUCCCAAAUCAAGCCAGUACUGAUUGCAUUGACCAGGUGCUUCUAAUGAUCUAAAUGGGGUCCACUAAAUAGUCACAAAGCUAUCUUGCUCCUUCUUCCAAGAGCUGAGCUUCUUGGGUUCUGGCCCCACUGCUUCUUUGCAAUGGGUAGGAGCCAGAGCCAGAGCAUCUCCUUUCACUUACUCUCUCCACCUAUCUGAACCAAGGAAUCCCUAUCCUUUGCAGCUAUUCAAAGGUAAAGGUUUGAGUGUUGGGAGAAAGAUUCCAAUUGUUGGCUUCUCUCAUACUGCGCCCAUCCUUUAGCCUGCUCUCUUCUGUGCCCUUGCUUGUAUUGUACGGAGUGCAUGAGGCACUUUCUGUUAUACGUCACAUCAAGGAUCUGUGAGUGAGGUCCCAGGGUGGCUUUGCC